AUUGAACGCUGGCGGCAUGCCUUACACAUGCAAGUCGAACGGCAGCACGGGUGCUUGCACCUGGUGGCGAGUGGCGAACGGGUGAGUAAUACAUCGGAACGUACCUUAUCGUGGGGGAUAACGCAGCGAAAGCUGUGCUAAUACCGCAUACGCCCUGAGGGGGAAAGCGGGGGAUCGCAAGACCUCGCGCGAUUAGAGCGGCCGAUGCCUGAUUAGCUUGUUGGUGGGGUAAGAGCCAACCAAGGCGACGAUCAGUAGCUGGUCUGAGAGGACGAUCAGCCACACUGGGACUGAGACACGGCCCAGACUCCUACGGGAGGCAGCAGUGGGGAAUUUUGGACAAUGGGGGCAACCCUGAUCCAGCAAUGCCGCGUGAGUGAAGAAGGCCUUCGGGUUGUAAAGCUCUUUUGUCAGGGAAGAAACACCGGCUCUAACACAGUCCGGGAAUGACGGUACCUGAAGAAUAAGCACCGGCUAACUACGUGCCAGCCGCCGCAGUAA
rnacentral:rRNA from 1 species